rnacentral:rRNA from 1 species
UACGGGGGGGGCAAGCGUUGUUCGGAAUUACUGGGCGUAAAGGGUUCGUAGGUGGCUUGUUAAGUCAGACGUGAAAUCCCUCGGCUUAACCGGGGAACUGCGUCUGAGACUGAUGAGCUUGAGUGCAGGAGAGGAACGCGGAAUUCCAGGUGUAGCGGUGAAAUGCGUAGAUAUCUGGAGGAACACCGGUGGCGAAGGCGGCGUUCUGGACUGCAACUGACACUGAGGAACGAAAGCCAGGGGAGCAAACGGG